AGGGGACAACAGUUGGAAACGACUGCUAAUACCGCAUACGAUCUAAUCUCGGCAUCGAGGAUGAUGAAAGGUGGCCUCUACAUGUAAGCUAUCACUGAAGGAGGGGAUUGCGUCUGAUUAGCUAGUUGGAGGGGUAACGGCCCACCAAGGCGAUGAUCAGUAGCCGGGCUGAGAGGAUGAACGGCCACAUUGGGACUGAGACACGGCCCAG
rnacentral:rRNA from 1 species